CAACAGGGUGUAGUCCGCCUGAUCGUACUAGUCCCUAGAACUGCUAGCAGGCAGCACUAUCCAGUGGUUUUUGUGAAGGGCCCCAGAUAUCAAAUGGGCCGCCUUGGCCUGGACCUGAAGAAAGUGAAAGAAAAUUUUGGAGUCUAGCUCAACACCUCUGUAGACUUUACGUGUAUCAAAGCAACAUUAGGAGUCUUGAACAGCCCUACUUCAUUCAACAAAGCUGUUUUUGCAGUUUUGCGUUGUUCCAUUUUGACAGUAACAACACACAAAGAGAAACAAAUGUAGACGCGGAUAAAUCAAUCCCCGAUCGCUCUGCUGUUGACUUUGGAACUCCACCACGGCGAGAGGCGGAAGCAGAGUCGACGGGGGAGUGGCGGCCGUCGAUCCCUCGCUGCGAGGACAC